CAGCCGGGGAGGGGGAGGUCUGGGGGUCGCCGUCGGAGAGAGGAGGUGGUUGGGCAGGGCGGCUGCUAGGCGGCCGCUCUGUACCGGUGGAGUUGCUGCGUCAAACGAAAUGGCAGGAGAGGGCAAGUUUCCUGUGAGCAUCUCAACUGCUGUGGCCUUGUGAGUAAAGAAAGUAAAGAAAAUCCAGACAGAUUCAGAAUUUAACAAGAGCGGUGCUAGCCUGGAGGAACUGCUUAGAGUUACAGCAGCCCGGUUCAUCACGGGACGGCACCUCUAUAUGUGCAGAAGAAAACUGAAAAUUCAUACUACUCCCAGGAGGAAUAAUACAGAGUUGUGGUAGAACUGCCCACUUGAGAAAAAAAACAGAGUAGAAAAGGGAACCUUAAGGACUAAGGAAGCGUUACAAGACUUCGCUCUAAGCUAUACCAGGUGGGUACUUGCUACCAGAAGCAAUGAGUUGCAAGGCAGAGCACGACCUCCAGCAACGCACUGAGAAUAGUUGUGUGGGUUGACAUCCAGCCACCGGCAAGUCAAAUUCAUUAACAGUAAACCCUAGUAUUUCCCUCUGUGGAACUACAUCACUUUGCACUCAGUAAGGAUCCAACCUUAUACGUGGGUUUUUGUGGUUUUUUUUAAGCCUCUCACUGAGUGUUCUGGAAAAAUAAUUUCAAUUUUAUUCCGUGUGCCGGGGCUCUGUGCAAACUUCACAAUUCUUCUUGUGCCUGAUCUCCUAAGUUACCGACUAAUCCACAGAAAAUUUUUGAAGAGGAGAGCGGUGCUUCAUUAAGAGAUUACUCGUGGGAGGAUGUCAGCUCAAAUGAGGAAUUGCAAAAAUUAUGAAAUGACAGCUCUUGCAAAUGUUUACACAUGUAUUUGGCAGUUUUCUGGAUCCUGGUGAAUAGCAGUACCCACAGAAAACCCGAAAGGAACCUAACAAAUCAGGUGCUCAAAUCAGCCCUUUAGCUGUUUGAGCAGUCUUCCUUUUGGAUGUUACCCUACGUGUACGUCCCAAAAUUUGGCGUGAGAAGCAGUCUUAUACAGUGUAAAAGUGUCAGUUCCAACUUACUGACACAGAUCCAUUGUCUGCACGAAGUUCUUCCACUCUGGAGCUACAUACGUUGUGAGAUUCAGAUUCUGUGGUACCUGUUCCACACUUUUUACCUUCUGUU